AUUUUAAAACACCUGCUUUGGAUUUUUAGUGUUCAUUGUAGCUAUUUAAGGCCACCUGAAUUUAUCGUCUUAAGUCUCGUUCCCCCUCUCCUCCCCCGAGAUCUUCCGUCGCGCCAGACAACGAGGCAGCUGCCGAUUGAGACUGAGGCGGAACUUUGUUGGAGUCCUCUUGGCUUCUUUCCUCCCCUGCACAUUUACCCAUGUGCACUGGAUGCUGAUGCGUUGCAUUCAAGUUGUGCCAUGGCGGAUCACAUUUCCUUUGUUCAGUGGUCACCUUUCAGAUAUUGUUUCAAGUUUUUGUUGCUGAUACAUUUGAUUUGUGUAUAAAUCUCAUCUAUUUUUUAAUUAGGGCCCGAGCCACUGCAUUGUCAGGCGAGGACAUAUUGUAAUCGUAGGAAUUAUUAUUAUACUUUUCUUCUUCUGCACAUGCAUCAGAAAUGGUGAAAAAUUUGAUAUUUUAUUGACUCGAUAGUACCACAUUUCCCCCAGCUUUAAAUUUGUUCUAGAUGAAUGAAAUUUGGUAGGCACGUGUAUCACAUCAAGACCUACAAAAAAGCCAUUUGGAUUUUAGUUUUGCAUUUUGGACAUUUUGGUACUUUAUGCGUCUUUAUUAUAGAUGGUGGAGCGAGGAUGCUGCGAUUCAUGUUCAUGGCAUCUUGACACCCACUCCACAGGAAAGUUCCUCACAGCACAUUUAUGAUCAAUGUGGUAACAGAGAGUUAGCAUCUCUGCUUUACUGAUUUUAACUUCUGCCCUACAGUAUGAAGAUUGAUCUGAACUCUGUUCAUUUUAUUUCAUGAAUAGUGUAUAUUAGCAGACGGAAAACAAUCCUUCUGCAUCACAGACUUUGGAAAAGAAGUAACACACACACACACACACACACACACACACACACACACACACACACACACACA